rnacentral:rRNA from 1 species
CCUACGGGAGGCAGCAGUGGGGAAUUUUGGACAAUGGGCGCAAGCCUGAUCCAGCCAUGCCGCGUGCGGGAAGAAGGCCUUCGGGUUGUAAACCGCUUUUGUCAGGGAAGAAAAGGUUCUGGUUAAUACCUGGGACUCAUGACGGUACCUGAAGAAUAAGCACCGGCUAACUACGUGCCAGCAGCCGCGGUAAUACGUAGGGUGCAAGCGUUAAUCGGAAUUACUGGGCGUAAAGCGUGCGCAGGCGGUUAUGCAAGACAGAGGUGAAAUCCCCGGGCUCAACCUGGGAACUGCCUUUGUGACUGCAUAGCUAGAGUGCGGCAGAGGGGGAUGGAAUUCCGCGUGUAGCAGUGAAAUGCGUAGAUAUGCGGAGGAACACCGAUGGCGAAGGCAAUCCCCUGGGCCUGCACUGACGCUCAUGCACGAAAGCGUGGGGAGCAAACAGGAUUAGAUACCCUGGUAGUCCACGCCCUAAACGAUGUCAACUGGUUGUUGGGAGGGUUUCUUCUCAGUAACGUAGCUAACGCGUGAAGUUGACCGCCUGGGGAGUACGGCCGCAAGGUUGAAACUCAAAUGAAUUGACGGCUGAGAGUGCGACGACGACGACGAGGGAGGAGG